rnacentral:snRNA from 1 species
AGUGUUGCGCAGUGGCAGUAUCAUAGUCAAUGAGGUUAAUCUGAGGCGUGAUUAUUGCUAGUUGAUACUUUUCCUUUCUUUUUUUUUUUUUUGGUGUUGAAUACACCCAGGCCUCAGCAAAAUAAUGCUUUUAAAAGUGCUUCUCCGUA